GGUGUCUUGGAGAAGUGGUUAACUCACUCCCCUUGGUUUCCCGAACAAGCUGGGAGAGGUCAGGGGUUCGAAUCCCCUAGACACCC
rnacentral:tRNA from 1 species